CGCGUCCGUAAAUCCCGCUUCGUUAUCUCACUGGAAUUCCUGUUUUAAUCCAUUUGCUAGUUAGCUACCUCUGCAGUGACGCUGCUCUGCUGCUGCUUGUAAGGCUGCGUGGUUAAAGGCAACACUUGAAAGGCAGAGGUAAAUCUAAACAACCACCCAGCAGCAGACCCGGCCAAGCCUGGUGCUGCCCGCACCUCUGCUUCAUCAGAGCGGCGGCAGUGCCGGUGGAUCUGUCUGAAGGGUCAUAAACGGGGUAAUGCAAAUAAAAUACAUUUGGUGGUAAAUAUUAUGGGAUUAUGCUGCUGUUUGUGUAUAUUAUUGCAGAUAUUUACUUGGAUUACUCAGACCUGUUGGAGUGAGUCCAGAGGAGGCCAUGAGGAUGCUCAGAGAGCACCUCCGCUCUGGAGACAGGCUGAGACAUCUGGGCUUGUUCAACUUGAAGAAGGCUCUGAGGAGACCUUGUAACAGUCUUCCGAUACCUAAAGGGACUACAAGAAAUCUGGAGAGGGGCUUUUUACAAGGGCAUGUAGGGACAGGACAAGGGAAACGGAUUUAACCCGAAAGAGGGGAUAUUUAGGUGAGAUGUUAGGAAACAAUGCUUCCCUUUGAGGGUGCUGAGGCGCUGGCACAGGGUGCCCAGAGAAGCUGUGGCUGCCCCAUCCCUGGCAGUGUUCAAGGCCAGGUUGGACACAGGGGCUUGGAGCAAGCUGCUCCAGUGGAAGGUGUCCCUGCCCAUGGCAGGGGUUGGAACUGGAUGAGCUUUAAGGUCCCCUCCAACACAAACCAUUCUAGGAUUAAAAGAUGCAACUGUGGUGUUUUCACCCGAACAGCAGCAGAUCCUGCUGGCUGGCAAGUCAGGUGAUUUGUAUCCCUUUAAUCAAGGGCCCCAAUGCUUAAUUACAUCUUACUUAAACAACUAUAAUGUUAAUUUAUCUUAAUUAUACUUUAGCAGCUCUUGCCCAACAUACACACUAUUAUUUAAACCCCCCAUCCCAUAGCGGGGCUGCACGGGGUCCCUCAGUUGCCUCCCUUUGCUGCACUGAUGGGUCUUAAAGCAGAGCUGAGCUUCAGGAGUUAAUCCACACUUCGUGUUUGUAUUCAAACAUCAGCUCCUGUUUGUGAACUAAAUCUACAUGGCAGGUGUUAAUUGAGUGCUAAUUUACUCGAAUUCCUCGUCGUGAGAGUGAUUAAGGGAGGAAGCGAGGCGCUGGCGGUUGGAGAGGUAAUUUGCCUUUUAAGCAAUAACGAUUAAAAACCCCUUUAGUUUGCACAGCGUAUUAAAAGAAGGUGACUGCAGGGAGCUGUGAGCAUGUUGAAGGUCAGGCUCUGUGCUCACACAGGCUCCCUGCAUCUCAUCCUCUUCAAUGAGAGUGCGGUCUGCUUGUUUGAGAAGUAAAGCUGCCUACAAGGCAUCGCUUUAUGCACUUAAAGGCUGGACACGACUAGGAUGGCUUGCGUGGAAGAGAAGGAACAGGAAAACACGAGAUCCAGAAGGCAGGAAUAGCAUUGAAAGAACUAGAAGCUGAACCGAUAGAGGCAGAGGAAUAAACCUCCCAGCCUAUGCUAAGGUGUGUUUUGGGUGGUUAUCCCACAGCAUGUCCUGGCUGGUGGUCUGAUGCUUCUGCCUUAUAAACCUGUUGUCACCAAAGCAGGAGGAUCCAGAGAUGAAUCAAAGCUCCUGAGCCUGCUUAUCCUCUCUUCCCACUGCUCGUGAGGCCGCCGUGCUGCCCGUGCUCUUGUGCAAUGAGAGGGCUGCAGUGACAAUGGAGGAAGCAUCGACACUGGAGUGUUUAAGCUCUCACAAACACCUCGUAUGACAGUGGAUGUGCCAUACCCCGUGCCCAAGGAGGACAAAAGGUGAGUUUCAAUGAAUGGCUGUGGCAUUCGGGUUCCACAGGGUACCGUGUGCCUGGCUUGUGCCGAGCAGUGAACUCCUCAUCCCUGGGGAGCCCACAUAGGAGGAUGGGGGCUGCACAGCCAGACCCCCCCAGGAGAUGAGACCAGGCUAAUUUUAACUACAUGGACAGCAUUUGAUAUGGAAGCAGCUGGUGUCAUACAAAUCCACAGACCUGUCAGGCAGCACAGGGCAUCGCUAAAGCAAGGAUGUUCAUUUCCACCCAAAAGCAACCUAGAAAGCCAGCCUUGAUUUAGUCUGCACCUGACCCAAUAUCGAUCAGAGCUCUAGCUCUGUAACCAUAGAUGUGCAACACCCAAACUCUUAGAUUUUAAUGCCAUCUUAUUAGAAAAGUAAGGCAGGACUCAUUUUUCUCGCCCCAUGUUGCAUUUCAUGCUAGUACAUACCUGCUCCUGUUUCCAGCUGGUGGAGAGGUUUUCUGAUCAUACUCUCUUUGUUCCCCUCUUGUGACAAGGUUUUCUACAGUUAAAAGUUUAUCUAAUGAAAGCCAGCACCAUA